GGCCGAGUGGCGGAAUUGGCAGACGCGCCGGAUUCAAAAUCCGGUAUCCUUUGGAUGUAUCGGUUCGAGUCCGGUCUCGGCUACUA
rnacentral:tRNA from 1 species